rnacentral:rRNA from 1 species
UGGGGAAUUUUGGACAAUGGGGGCAACCCUGAACCAGCAAUGCCGCGUGUGUGAAGAAGGCCUUCGGGUUGUAAAGCAUUUUUGUCCGGGAAGAAAUCGCACCUGAUAAUAACGGGUGUGGAUGACGGUACCGGAAGAAUAAGGACCGGCUAACCACGUGCCAGCAGCCGCGGUAAUACGUAGGGUCCAAGCGUUAAUCGGAAUUACUGGGCGUAAAGCGUGCGCAGGCGGUUGUGCAAGACCGGUGUGAAAUCCCCGGGCUUAACCUGGGAAUUGCAUUGGUGACUGCACGGCUGGAGUGUGUCAGAGGUGGGUGAAAUUCCACGUGUAGCAGUGAAAUGCGUAGAGAUGUGGAGGAAUACCGAUGGCGAAGGCAGCCCCCUGGGAUAACACUGACGCUCAUGCACGAAAGCGUGGGGGGCAAACAGG